GACGGAGGAUGCAAGUGUUAUCCGGAAUCACUGGGCGUAAAGAGCUCGUAGGUGGUUUGUCGCGUUGUUCGUGAAAACCGGGGGCUUAACCCUCGGCGUGCGGGCGAUACGGGCAGACUUGAGUACUGCAGGGGAGACUGGAAUUCCUGGUGUAGCGGUGGAAUGCGCAGAUAUCAGGAGGAACACCGGUGGCGAAGGCGGGUCUCUGGGCAGUAACUGACGCUGAGGAGCGAAAGCGUGGGGAGCGAACAGG
rnacentral:rRNA from 1 species